GCCAGGGGGUCUCCCGCUCCUGCUGUGACCAGCUCCCCUCCCCCAUGGUCUCCCAGAACCAGAAGAGGUGUGAAGAGUGUGGAGCAAAGACAGUGCUAUACACAUUUUUUAAUAAAUCAACAACAACAACAACAACAACAACAACAACAACAACAACAAGGUAUUGGAGGAGUGCAGGAGUAGUGAAUGAAAGGAGGAGCCAGAAAACACAGCACAGAAACAUUCCAUCAAGGACUUCUCACUGGUGUGGAUGGGAAACAACAGUACAUCUAUGCAAAGUUUCAGUUUCAGCAAUGGUGCAACAACAGAUGAUUCCCAGGUCUUGGACAACACCCAUUUCCAUAGUACUGGUGAGUAAAUUCCAUGACUAAAAUAUAGGUUGGUCAUACACACAGUAGAUUGCUCUUGGUGUUUACUAGAAGUUCAAGAGGCACUCAGUGAGGUGCUGACAUUUACGGAGGGAAGUUUUAUGAUGGGAAAUCUAUCCCUUACAUGACAGCUACAUUUCUCGCCCUGUAACAUGAUGAUCCAACUGAUAACAGCACUGUUUUAACAUGCUGCAAUAAAAACGUCUAAUUUCUUUGUUGUUUUAUGACACUGGCUAAUUCUGGAAUGCUUUCAAGCAUGAUAUUGAUAUUCACCUGGGAUCCGCUUGCAUUCAGAAACAGCUACUUCCAAUUCAAAUUAGCAGACUAAAUACAGGAUCACAAACUGUACAGGAUCACAAACUGUAAGGAUUGCUACCAGGGCGAUUAGCAAAACUAUUCUACUGUAGAAAAGAGAAAACCCAAUGAUGAAUGAUAAAAAAAAGAGAAGGCAUCAAUAAUGCUAACAUUAAAAUCCAAUAUAAAGCAACCUAGACACAGUGA